GAUGAACGCUAGCGGCAGGCCUAACACAUGCAAGUCGAGGGAGAGGUUACCUUCGGGUAACCAAAACCGGCGCACGGGUGCGUAACGCGUAUACAAUCUGCCUUUCACAUAGGGAUAGCCCGAAGAAAUUUGGAUUAAUACCUAAUGGUAUAUAAGAGCGGCAUCGUUUUUAUAUUAAAGCUACGGUGGUGAAAGAUGAGUAUGCGUUCUAUUAGCUAGUUGGAGAGGUAACGGCUCCCCAAGGCGACGAUAGAUAGGGGUUCUGAGAGGGAUGUCCCCCACACUGGUACUGAGAUACGGACCAGACUCCUACGGGAGGCAGCAGUGAGGAGUAUUGGACAAUGGUCGGAAGACUGAUCCAGCCAUGCCGCGUGCAGGAUGAAGGUCCUAUGGAUUGUAAACUGCUUUUGUAAGGGAAGAAUAAGGAGUACGUGUACUUUGAUGACGGUACCUUACGAAUAAGCAUCGGCUAACUCCGUGCCAGCAGCCGCGGUAAUACGGAGGAUGCGAGCGUUAUCCGGAAUCAUUGGGUUUAAAGGGUCCGUAGGCGGGCUGAUAAGUCAGAGGUGAAAGCGCUUAGCUCAACUAAGCAACUGCCUUUGAAACUGUCAGUCUUGAAUGAUUGUGAAGUAGUUGGAAUGUGUAGUGUAGCGGUGAAAUGCUUAGAUAUUACACAGAACACCGAUAGCGAAGGCAUAUUACUAACAAUUUAUUGACGCUGAUGGACGAAAGCGUGGGGAGCGAACAGG
rnacentral:rRNA from 1 species